rnacentral:misc_RNA from 1 species
UGAAGUUGAGCGUCGAAUUGUUGCAAUUCAAGCUAUUCGUGCAGUGGAGACCGAGAGUUUGCUCUCCCGACUGCGCUUAUUCCGCUUAUUUGUUGGGAAGGAUCACUUGAAGAUUCCUGCUUUACAAUUCUUCGAGCAAAAUUUACCCCACCUAUCCGUGACAAGAAACGAGAAGGACAAGAUUUUUGAAUUGAACUGGAGGGACACUGAAAGGCACGGUAAUGGUAGAGAUGUGCGAGCUUCACUUGAAAGUGUCAUCACGUCUGAUUCUCUUGGUGAUCUUACCAUGUCAGUAGACUCAGUGAGGAAAAACUUUUUUUG